rnacentral:rRNA from 1 species
AACGAACGCUGGCGGCAUGCCUAACACAUGCAAGUCGAACGAGAUCUUCGGGUCUAGUGGCGCACGGGUGCGUAACGCGUGGGAAUCUGCCCUUUGGUUCGGAAUAACAGUUGGAAACGACUGCUAAUACCGGAUGAUGACGAAAGUCCAAAGAUUUAUCGCCAGAGGAUGAGCCCGCGUAGGAUUAGCUAGUUGGUGUGGUAAAGGCGCACCAAGGCGACGAUCCUUAGCUGGUCUGAGAGGAUGAUCAGCCACACUGGGACUGAGACGCGGCCCAGACUCCUACGGGAGGCAGCAGGGGGGAAUAUUGGACAAUGGGCGAAAGCCUGAUCCAGCAAUGCCGCGUGAGUGAUGAGGGCCUUAGGGUUGUAAAGCUCUUUUACCCGGGAUGAUAAUGACAGUACCGGGAGAAUAAGCUCCGGCUAACUCCGUGCCAGCAGCCGCCGUAA